AACAUCUCAUCAUCGCUCUGACCCUCUGAAUGUUCUGGGUCAUCUGGACUCAGAACUUUCUGGAUCUUCUUCAGUUCUUUCUUCACAAAAGUGACAAUAUUGUCCUCCAGCACCAUAAAUAUGGAGUCCAGCUGUGUUUGAUGCUGCUGGGCAGACGGACCACUGGGAACCUCUGAGCUCUGCUGGUCCACUCUGUGGAGGAACCAGGAACAAUUAGGAAGUAAGGAAAUAUUUAUCCAGCUGUAUUCACAGAUGAAAUCACCAAGAUUUCACAUCAAAUGUCCUUUAUAUAGAAAAACAGAGCAUCACAUGAACACAAUUUAAAGUCAGAAAGAAUAAGAUGAUCUACAAACUAGAAGAACCUCUGAUGAUCCACAUCAGCUCAGUUUGGUUGAGUUCCUGCAAAUCUCACCAACCACAUCAUUAAGUUUUCCUUCCCUGCUGAACUGCUCUCACAAUGCACACAGGAACCAAGUCCUGAUGGACCAGAUGGCUUUACCAGGUAUUUCACAGUGGAUUGUGGAAAUGUGUCCACCUUUAAUCUGACAUGGAUUUAGGAAGCAGCAGAUUAUCAUCAUCAACACCCAAACAUGGAGAUAUGAAGGUGUUGUCAAUGGAGUUUAUGUCUGGUGAAGAAGGGGACCACUUCAUUAUUCUUUCAUCUUUAAGGCCUUUACUGGCUAGACACAUAGUGGAGUACUUUAAGGUAUGCAAUGGAGCAUUGUCCUGCAUAAAAAUCAUGGUCUUCUUGAAAGAUGCAAACUUGUUCCUGCACCACUGCAUGAAGACACUGUCUUCUAAAAACUGGCAGUAGGUUUGGGAGUUGAUUUUGAGUCCAUCUUCAGACCAAAAUUGUCCAACUAGCUCAUGUUUAAUAAUACCAGCCCAUACUAGUACCCUACCUCCACCUUGCUGGUGUCUUGAUCAGCUCUAUUUCAGAACAGCUGAUUCAGCUGAUGCAUGCUUUCUUCUGCAGCCAUCAAAUACCAAAGAAGGCUGUUAAUCACCCACAGAUACAAUCCAGGUGUGUGGCAGAAUGGAAAACGGCCAAAAAUGCAAGGCAGGGGGGCCUUUAGACCGGAAUUGAGGAACACUGAUAUAGGGUGUCCUUAGGCCCCACCCUUCCUCAUUAAACAAAUACACAUUUGCUGAUAUUCAAUAAGCAUUCUAUGUUUACUGCUAGGAGUUGAAUAAUGUGGAUAAAAAUGAUAUGGUCAAAACUAAAACUUGCCUAAUAAUUGUGCACACAGUGUAGAUGUAUGUGACAGAAUGGACAAUAAAAAUAAUUACACCCCCUCCCCUUUUCUUACUUUAUUUAAAGACUGUAGACUAUACUCUUAAGCUGCACUUCUCCUACUUGAACUGAGAUGCAUUAAACUACAGUUACAGCAGUUUGCCACCAGUUGGCACAUAGAGCACGGUUAGCACUCCUGACUCAGCGAGCCAAUGGCAAUUUAGCGCAGUAACAGCUGGUCAGCGGAGGUGGUCACUGUCACUCUUGUUUGUUAACAGCGUUCAUGAAAUAAAAUAACCUGCAAAAACCACACUAAUUAAUCACUAAGUGUGCAACAAAAAUUGAAACAUUCAGACCAGAGAGUUUCUAAACUUGUUGUCAUUAGUUUGUUCAGUUCUGCAAUGUUGUCUGAAGCUCAAAUGAGAUGUUUUGAAUCCAAUUAUAUAUUUUAGAAGAAAAUGCUGCACCUUUAAACUCAUGUAAUGAAACAUCCCCAAGUCACUAGUUAAGUACGUGUGAUUGUUCAAACUACAGCUGAGGAUAACUGAAACUCUUCAUCACUAGAACUGAGGAAGACUUUCAGAUAAGACGACAGAACAAGUUAGGAACAAAGAAAGAAUGUCCAACUGGUUCCA